rnacentral:ribozyme from 11 species
GACAUACACAGAAUUGCAAAUGAACAAAAAAGAGGAUUAGUGCAUAAAACAAACUCAUCUUUGGAGUCAACUUGUUCUUGAUGUUUUUUUUCUCCUAUUUUUAUAUUGUUUUCACAUUC